GAGACAGGUGGUGCAUGGUUGUCGUCAGCUCGUGUCGUGAGAUGUUGGUUAAGUCCCGCAACGAGCGCAACCUUGUGUUUUAGUUGCAAACAGGUCAAGCUGUGCACUCUAGACAGACUGCCGUGGACAACACGGAGGAAGGUGGGGAUGACGUCAAAUCAUCAUGCCCCUUAUGAUCUGGGCUACACACGUGCUACAAUGGCCGGUACAACGGGCAGCGAAGGAGCGAUCCGGAGCGAAUCCUAAAAAGCCGGUCCCAGUUCGGAUUGCAGGCUGAAACUCGCCUACAUGAAGUUGGAGUUGCUAGUAAUCGCGAAUCAGAAUGUCGCGGUGAAUGCGUUCCCGGGUCUU
rnacentral:rRNA from 1 species